UACGGAGGAUGCGAGCGUUAUCCGGAUUUAUUGGGUGUAAAGGGAGCGUAGGCGGGAUAUUAAGUUGAAUGUAUAAACUACCGGCUUAACCGAUAGAAGCGUUCAAAACUGAUAUUCUUGAGUGAAGUAGAGGCAGGCGGAAUUCCUAGUGUAGCGGUGAAAUGCGUAGAUAUUAGGAGGAACACCAGUGGCGAAGGCGGCCUGCUGGGCUUUAACUGACGCUGAGGCUCGAAAGCGUGGGUAGCAAACAGG
rnacentral:rRNA from 1 species